AUUGAACGCUGGCGGCAGGCCUAACACAUGCAAGUCGAACGGUAACAGGAAGCAGCUUGCUGCUUUGCUGACGAGUGGCGGACGGGUGAGUAAUGUCUGGGAAACUGCCUGAUGGAGGGGGAUAACUACUGGAAACGGUAGCUAAUACCGCAUAACGUCGCAAGACCAAAGAGGGGGACCUUCGGGCCUCUUGCCAUCGGAUGUGCCCAGAUGGGAUUAGCUAGUAGGUGGGGUAACGGCUCACCUAGGCGACGAUCCCUAGCUGGUCUGAGAGGAUGACCAGCCACACUGGAACUGAGACACGGUCCAGACUCCUACGGGAGGCAGCAGUGGGGAAUAUUGCACAAUGGGCGCAAGCCUGAUGCAGCCAUGCCGCGUGUAUGAAGAAGGCCUUCGGGUUGUAAAGUACUUUCAGCGGGGAGGAAGGGGGUAAAGUUAAUACCUUUGCUCAUUGACGUUACCCGCAGAAGAAGCACCGGCUAACUCCGUG
rnacentral:rRNA from 1 species